rnacentral:tRNA from 1 species
AAAAUUUUAGUUUUAAAAUAAAAUAUUUUAUUUACAAUAAGAAGAUAUUAGUAAAAUUAAUAAAUUUAA